rnacentral:rRNA from 1 species
AGCGCGAGAGAGAGCUUGCUUUCUCGAGCGAGUGGCGAACGGGUGAGUAACGCGUGAGGAACCCGCCUCAAAGAGGGGGACAACAGUUGGAAACGACUGCUAAUACCGCAUAAGCCCACGGGUCGACAUCGGCCAGAGGGAAAAGGAGCAAUCCGCUUUGAGAUGGCCUCGCGUCCGAUUAGCUGGUUGGUGAGGUAAUGGCCCACCAAGGCGACGAUCGGUAGCCGGACUGAGAGGUUGAACGGCCACAUUGGAACUGAGAAACGGUCCAGACUCC